rnacentral:rRNA from 1 species
CGGCGCACGGGUGCGUAACGCGUAUGCAACCUACCCAUUACUAAGGGAUAGCCCAGAGAAAUUUGGAUUAAUACCUUAUGGCACCACAGAUUGGCAUCAUGAAGUGGUUAAAGAUUUAUCGGUAAUGGAUGGGCAUGCGUGCCAUUAGCUAGUUGGUAAGGUAACGGCUUACCAAGGCAACGAUGGCUAGGGGUUCUGAGAGGAUGAUCCCCCACACUGGCACUGAGAUACGGGCCAGACUCCUACGGGAGGCAGCAGUAGGGAAUAUUGGUCAAUGGGCGAGAGCCUGAACCAGCCAUGCCGCGUGCAGGAAGACGGCCUUCUGGGUUGUAAACUGCUUUUAUCAGGGAACAAAAAGCCCAUGCGUGGGAAAUUGCGUGUACCUGAAGAAUAAGCACCGGCUAACUCCGUGCCAGCAGCCGCGGUAAU